AUCUUGAUGAUAUAUGUAGCACACUAUCAAAAAAUUUUAUUUUAAUCGGACAUCAUUAUGAUGGUCAAUUUAGCAUUCGAUGAUUUCGAUCGUUAAAUAAAAAAUGAGUGAUCAAAAGGCCAAACUACAUCCGAUUAAGAUAAUUUUUUAGAUAAAUAAUCUUUACUACCACUUUAAUCAUUUGAAUGAUGGUGAUCAUAAAAUCCAAAUUGUAUAUAUAUGAACCAUCAAAGAAUGGAUCUGAAGUUGCG
rnacentral:lncRNA from 1 species